rnacentral:lncRNA from 1 species
UUGAAUGUCCAAUCAAAAUUAUCCAACAUGUUUAGUCAACAUACAUGAGAAUUCAAGGGACAUUUUUUUGAUAUUCACCUCUAUUAUACUCAUCUUGGAAUCUGUAACUGACUUGAGCGUUGGAGUGUUAACCUUGCAGAUUCAUCCUGCACCAGCGUAUUAGAGAUCAACAUUAUAGCUUUCAGGGUCCUACAUCAACAAUCAACACCAAUCCAGGUUAGCACGGAACAAGCAGAAAUCAAAAUAAUC